rnacentral:rRNA from 1 species
GACGAACGCUGGCGGCGUGCUUAACACAUGCAAGUCGAACGGAAAGGCCCUGCUUUUGUGGGGUGCUCGAGUGGCGAACGGUUGAGUAACACGUGAGUAACCUGCCCUUGACUUUGGGAUAACUUCAGGAAACUGGGGCUAAUACCGGAUAGGAGCUCCUGCUGCAUGGUGGGGGUUGGAAAGUUUCGGCGGUUGGGGAUGGACUCGCGGCUUAUCAGCUUGUUGGUGGGGUAGUGGCUUACCAAGGCUUUGACGGGUAGCCGGCCUGAGAGGGUGACCGGCCACAUUGGGACUGAGAUACGGCCCAGACUCCUACGGGAGGCAGCAGUGGGGAAUAUUGCACAAUGGGCGGAAGCCUGAUGCAGCAACGCCGCGUGCGGGAUGACGGCCUUCGGGUUGUAAACCGCUUUCGCCCGUGACGAAGCGUGAGUGACGGUAAUGGGUAAAGAAGCACCGGCUAACUACGUG